GAUACCCUAUUAUUAUAAAUGUGAAUAAAAAAUUCUUGAUUAUUAUAAGUUUAUGGUCUUUAAAAUUAAAAAUUUUGGCGGUAUUUUAGUCUAUUCAGAGGAAUCUGUCCUGUAAUUGAUAGUCCACGUUUUAAUUUACUUUUUUUAGAAGUUUAUAUAUCAUCGUAGAUUAAAUAUUUUAAAAGAAUUAUAAUAUUUAAGAUUUUUGAGUUUAAAAUAAAUCAGAUCAAGGUGUAGUUUAUAAAAAAGAAGAGAUGGAUUACAAUAAAUAAAUUUUAGAAUUAAUAUUUAAAAAAUUUUAUGAAUAUGGAUUUGAUUGUAAUUUUUAAAAAAUUUUAAGAAUGAUUAGAGCUCUAAAAUAUGUACAUAUC
rnacentral:rRNA from 1 species